rnacentral:lncRNA from 1 species
GGGACUGGGAACUACUUAUUUGUAGUAAUCGACGCGCAGCGUUACAGACUGUCUGCAACGCUCACACACAUUAGCGGGCGGGGGGGAGGGGAGGGCAAGAUUCUCUUAUUUGCGUUAACAUUUCCAGGCGGCCAAUGGCGGGGCGCCUUUUCAAAGAGCCGCGGGAGCGGCCAAUCAGGAGGGGCUCAUUUGCAUGCGGCGGCGCGGGGGCCAGGGCGGGAAUUCCUCGGCGCGCCGUCCCCCUCCCCGCUCGCCUCCCGGCCGCUCCKGGAAAGGUCACUCUGUGCGCGGGCCGAGACACUGCGUCUGGAGCCGGCGGGGGGCGGGGAGCCGCAGCCGCCGCCAUGAUCGCCGCGCCAGGGCACGCCGGGCCACGGCUUUAUCUUCCCUCAGCCUUUAAUGAAAGCACCUUCCCCCGCCCGCUCGCCCGCCUCCAAACGCAGCAUUUCAAAGCCCGCUUAUUUAUACAGCCGCUGUUUACCGAAAUAACGUGUCAUGCUCCCUCGCCCAUUGUGUCUCCUAAUUCCUGCCCUUCCUCUGCUGUGAUUUCUCGUUUAACUACAGCUGCCGCUAACUCCUCAGGAGAAGCUGGAGGCGUGUUCGCUCUGAAGAAGGCGAGGCGGCACCCAGGCGCUCGCCUGCACGCUCGUGAGCMGCGCUUUUUUGUUUUCUUUUUCUCUCACGUGGUCUUCAAAAGUGCAGAUCAGAACCAGGACCCUGCUGAAGUCAUUAAGUCAGGACCUUGCACCAAUAAGUCAGGUCCUUGGACUUCACAGUAUUUAAGCAGGUUUUGGAAGAGAAAAACAUAUUGCUUUUUCAUUGUCAUCUAUAUGAAUGGAAAUCCUCAGACCGAUUCUCAAGAAGAUAGUUUUAUGUUGCUGUCUCCUCACUUGAAACUCUAUUAUACCAUGCAUGACUGUUUCAUGUUUAAAAAAGGUUGAUUUAUUGUCUAUACUGCUGCCACUUUGCAUUUGGAGUUGUAAGGAGAGAAACAUCCUCAGACAUCGCACUGGGAUAACCUGCAAGGUGACCUGCAAGAAAAUAGUCUAUAAUUUGAGAACUUUGUUUAGUGAACUGUGGUUUGAAUAUCUUCAUCUUAUAAAUGGAACAGGAAUUUUUGUUUUGUUUUUUUUACAAGAUAGCAUUUUGGUGGAUCAUUGCUAUGUUCUGUAUUUUACCUUUAGCAGAUAUGUUAAUGAAUUCAAGCUGGCCAACCAAAGAAAAGUAAAAGCUAUUUUCUGUUUAUAAAGUAUGCUAAUUGAAUCACUAUAUGCAGUUUAAUUGUUUUGGUAAAUACUCUAAUGUUCCAUUUCUAAACAGUUCAUCUUUUAAUGGAGGAGGAGGAGGAGUGAGGGAUUUAGUAACUUGCCUAAAAUGAAGACAUAUUUUCUAAUUACUCAGAUUAAUCAUUAGCAUCGGCUCUUGUGAAGAAUCCCCUAAGGCACAAAUAUAUAUAUAAAUUUUAAAAAGGAAGUAAAGCUUUUCUUUAAAAUAGAACUUAAAACAGAAAUUGAAGCCAACUUUGAUGAAAGCUUCUUACAUUUUAAGCUGACUGUAGGGUACACGCCAAAUAAAUGUGGAGUGUUGCAAAACUCA